ACGGGUGAGUAACGCGUGAGCAACCUGUCCCUUACAGGGGGAUAACACAGCGAAAGUUGUACUAAUACCGCAUAAGACCACGGAUUCACAUGGAUCAGGGGUCAAAGGAGCAAUCCGGUAAGGGGUGGGCUCGCGUCCGAUUAGAUAGUUGGUGAGGUAACGGCCCACCAAGUCGACGAUCGGUAGCCGACCUGAGAGGGUGAUCGGCCACAUUGGAACUGAGACACGGCCCAAACUCCUACGGGAGGCAGCAGUGGGGAAUAUUGGGCAAUGGGGGGAACCCUGACCCAGCAACGCCGCGUGAGGGAAGAAGGUUUUCGGAUCGUAAACCUCUGUCCUAUGUGAAGAGGAAGAGACGGUAGCAUAGGAGGAAGCCCCGGCUAACUACGUGCCAGCAGCCGCGGUAAUACGUAGGGGGCGAGCGUUGUCCGGAAUGAUUGGGCGUAAAGGGCGCGUAGGCGGCCUUUUAAGUCUGAAGUGAAAGUCCUGGUUUUAAGUUGGGAAUUGCUUUGGAUACUGGAAGGCUUGAGUGCAGGAGAGGUAAGUGGAAUUCCCAGUGUAGCGGUGAAAUGCGUAGAGAUUGGGAGGAACACCAGUGGCGAAGGCGACUUACUGGACUGUAACUGACGCUGAGGCGCGAAAGUGUGGGGAGCAAACAGGAUUAGAUACCCUGGUAGUCCACACUGUAAACGAUGAAUGCUAGGUGUAGGGGGUAUCGACCCCUUCUGUGCCGCAGUAAACACAAUAAGCAUUCCGCCUGGGGAGUACGGCCGCAAGGUUGAAACUCAAAUGAAUUGACGG
rnacentral:rRNA from 1 species